AGAGUUUGAUCCUGGCUCAGGAUGAACGCUGGCGGCGUGCCUAAUACAUGCAAGUCGAACGCUUCACUUCGGUGAAGAGUGGCGAACGGGUGAGUAAUACAUAAGUAACCUGGCAUCUACAGGGGGAUAACUGAUGGAAACGUCAGCUAAGACCGCAUAGGUGUAGAGAUCGCAUGAACUCUAUAUGAAAAGUGCUACGGGACUGGUAGAUGAUGGACUUAUGGCGCAUUAGCUGGUUGGCAGGGUAACGGCCUACCAAGGCGACGAUGCGUAGCCGACCUGAGAGGGUGACCGGCCACAUUGGGACUGAGACACGGCCCAGACUCCUACGGGAGGCAGCAGUGGGGAAUAUUGCACAAUGGGGGAAACCCUGAUGCAGCGACGCCGCGUGAGUGAAGAAGUAUUUCGGUAUGUAAAGCUCUAUCAGCAGGGAAGAAAAUGACGGUACCUGACUAAGAAGCCCCGGCUAACUACGUGCCAGCAGCCGCGGUAAUACGUAGGGGGCAAGCGUUAUCCGGAAUUAUUGGGCGUAAAGGGUGCGUAGGCGGGUUAUCAAGUCUUUGGUUAAAAUGCGGUGCUCAACGCCGUAGUGCCAAAGAAACUGAUAGUCUAGAGUAUGGUAGAAGUGAGUGGAACUCCAUGUGUAGCGGUAAAAUGCGUAAAUAUAUGGAAGAACACCAGUGGCGAAGGCGGCUCACUAGGCCAAUACUGACGCUGAGACACGAAAGCGUGGGGAGCAAACAGGAUUAGAUACCCUGGUAGUCCACGCCCUAAACGAUGAGUACUAAGUGUAGCCAGAAGGCUGUGCUGAAGUUAACGCAUUAAGUACUCCGCCUGAGUAGUACGUACGCAAGUAUGAAACUUAAAGGAAUUGACGGGAUCCCGCACAAGCGGUGGAGCAUGUUGUUUAAUUCGACGAUACGCGAAGAACCUUACCAGGUCUUGACAUACUCGGCAAAUCUAUAGAGAUAUAGAGGAGGUUAACCGGGAUACAGGUGGUGCAUGGUUGUCGUCAGCUCGUGUCGUGAGAUGUUAGGUUAAGUCCUGCAACGAGCGCAACCCUUAUUGCUAGUUACCAUCAUUAAGUUGGGGACUCUAGCGAGACUGCCGGUGAUAAACCGGAGGAAGGCGGGGAUGACGUCAAAUCAUCAUGCCCUUUAUGACCUGGGCUACAAACGUGCUACAAUGGCUGACACAAAGAGAAGCGAGCUCGCGAGAGUAAGCAAACCUCAGAAAAGCAGUCUCAGUUCGGAUUGAAGUCUGCAACUCGACUUCAUGAAGUUGGAAUCGCUAGUAAUCGCGAAGCAGAGUGUCGCGGUGAAUACGUUCCCGGGAUUUGUACACACCGCCCGUCAAACCAUGAGAGUUUGUAAUACCCGAAGCCGGUGGCCGAACCGCAAGGAAGGAGCCGUCUAAGGUAGGACAGAUGAUUGGGGUUAAGUCGUAACAAGGUAUCCCUACGAGAACGUGGGGAUG
rnacentral:rRNA from 1 species